UUAAUUUUCCAAAAAAUACUGUCAUCAAAUUUUACAAUAAAACCGUUCGGUUCAAGAAUGUCCCGCCUGCAAGUAAUUUUUGUUUCGACCUUGAUCAUUUUGCUGUGUCUCGCACCAUCUGAAAAAACGGAACCCACAGAAUGUUAUUAUUGCAACAAAAAAUGCACGGAUCCCAUUAAAACAGAAAAAUGUGGAUCUUCUUAUGAUAAUGAAGAUCUCAACAGAACGUACGUGUGUGCGAAUAAAAACCGCCUAACUUCCGAUCGUCUAGUGAUCGAAAAAGGAUGUUUUUAUUUGGGUGAUGUUUUCAUGAACGCGUGCCGUAACAAGUCAAACAUUGUAUGCGUUCAUUGUGACACAGAUCUUUGUAACACCGGACAAUUUCUGUAUUACACGGGACCGAAUUCUACUGGCACCAGUGUGCCACGAACAUCUUUAAAUUAUUAUUCGUCGUCCUUCUUACUGUCCAUUACGUUUUUUCUUGUGAUUUUACAAUAAAAUUUACAGUAAUAAA